UUGUACUGUUCUAAUUCGUCCGGUUAACGAAUGACUCAAAAGAGGGUAUAGAGUGCGUGAGCGGGAACCUAAGCGAUUUCUGCAGGAACUUAUUCAGGGUGAUUAGGGACAAAACAUACUA